CCUACGGGUGGCAGCAGUGGGGAAUAUUGGACAAUGGGCGAAAGCCUGAUCCAGCCAUGCCGCGUGUGUGAAGAAGGCCUUCGGGUUGUAAAGCACUUUCAGUGGGGAAGAAAGCCUUGGGGCUAAUACCCUCGAGGAAGGACAUCACCCACAGAAGAAGCACCGGCUAACUCCGUGCCAGCAGCCGCGGUGAUACGGAGGGUGCGAGCGUUAAUCGGAAUUACUGGGCGUAAAGCGCGCGUAGGCGGUCUGAUAAGCCGGUUGUGAAAGCCCCGGGCUCAACCUGGGAACGGCAUCCGGAACUGUCAGGCUAGAGUGCAGGAGAGGAAGGUAGAAUUCCCGGUGUAGCGGUGAAAUGCGUAGAGAUCGGGAGGAAUACCAGUGGCGAAGGCGGCCUUCUGGACUGACACUGACGCUGAGGUGCGAAAGCGUGGGUAGCAAACAGGAUUAGAUACCCGAGUAGUC
rnacentral:rRNA from 1 species